UCGCUGUAGCAAUACGAUGGAAAGUCUAGUGGCGAACGGGUGCUUAACACGUGGGCAACCUGCCAGGAAGUGGGGGAUAGCUCGCCGAAAGGCGAAUUAAUACCGCAUGUGAUUAGAGAGGACAUCCUUUCGAAAUUAAAGUCGGGGCAACCUGACGCUUCUUGUGGGGCCCGCGGCCUAUCAGCUAGUUGGUGAGGUAAGGGCUCACCAAGGCUUUGACGGGUAGCUGGUCUGAGAGGACGACCAGCCACACUGGGACUGAGACACGGCCCAGACACCUACGGGUGGCAGCAGUCGAGAAUUUUUGACAAUGGGGGAAACCCUGAUCGAGCGACGCCGCGUGGAGGAUGAAGGUCUUCGGAUUGUAAACUCCUGUCAUUGGGGAACAAGGUGCAUACGUUAACUGCGUGCGCAUUGAUAGUACCCGAAGAGGAAGAGACGGCUAACUCUGUGCCAGCAGCCGCGGUAAUACAGAGGUCUCAAGCGUUGUUCGGAUUCAUUGGGCGUAAAGGGUGCGUAGGCGGCGCGGUAAGUCGGGUGUGAAAUCUCGGAGCUUAACUCCGAAACUGCAUUCGAUACUGCCGUGCUUGAGGACUGGAGAGGAGACUGGAAUUCUCGGUGUAGCA
rnacentral:rRNA from 1 species